rnacentral:rRNA from 1 species
UACGAAGGGUGCAAGCGUUAAUCGGAAUUACUGGGCGUAAAGCGUGCGCAGGCGGUGAUGUAAGACAGAUGUGAAAUCCCCGGGCUCAACCUGGGAACUGCAUUUGUGACUGCAUCGCUGGAGUGCGGCAGAGGGGGAUGGAAUUCCGCGUGUAGCAGUGAAAUGCGUAGAUAUGCGGAGGAACACCGAUGGCGAAGGCAAUCCCCUGGGCCUGCACUGACGCUCAUGCACGAAAGCGUGGGGAGCAAACAGG